ensembl:lncRNA
CUUUACAGUUGGCACUAUGCAUUGUAGCAGGUAUUGAUCUCCUGGCACCCGCCAAACCCCGAUUCCUCCGUCGGACUGCCAGAUGGCGAGACUUGAUUCAUCAAUCCAGAGAACCCGUUUCCACUGUUCCAGUCCAAUGGCGGUGUGUCAGUGUUUAAGGAUGCAGCGAAAGCACUCGAAGGAGAGACAAUGUUCUGACUGUUUGCUGACAGACAGGCUGAAAGAAGGUACAGGUUGCUGAUGCACUGUUCCAGCAGGUCUUCCGGCACAAUGGCCAUCCGGAGGACAUCGUAGGUAUGGAGAGCCUUUUAGGAGAAGCUGCGGGCCACGGCCAGCCUCACAUCUGGGUACCGGCCUCAGUCCAACGGGCAGGUGGAGAUGAAUAACCAGGAGCUGGGGAGGUUCCUUAAAAGUCACUGUCAG